rnacentral:rRNA from 1 species
AGUGAACGCUGGCGGCAGGCCUAACACAUGCAAGUCGAGCGGCAGCGGGUCCUUCGGGAUGCCGGCGAGCGGCGGACGGGUGAGGAAUACAUCGGAAUCUGCCCUGUCGUGGGGGAUAACCUAGGGAAACUUAGGCUAAUACCGCAUACGACCUACGUGUGAAAGCGGGGGAUCGCAAGACCUCGCGCGACAGGAUGAGCCGAUGUCCGAUUAGCUAGUUGGCGGGGUAAAGGCCCACCAAGGCGACGAUCGGUAGCUGGUCUGAGAGGAUGAUCAGCCACACUGGAACUGAGACACGGCCCAGACUCCUACGGGAGGCAGCAGUGGGGAAUAUUGGACAAUGGGCGCAAGCCUGAUCCAGCCAUGCCGCGUGGGUGAAGAAGGCCUUCGGGUUGUAAAGCCCUUUUGUCCGGGAAGAAAUCGUCUGGGCUAAUACCCCGGGCGGAUGACGGUACCGGAAGAAUAAGCACCGGCUAACUUCGUG